rnacentral:rRNA from 1 species
AGCGAACGCCGGCGGCAGGCCUAAUACAUGCAAGUCGAGCGCACCUUCGGGUGAGCGGCGGACGGGUGAGUAACGCGUGGGAACGUGCCCUUUGGUACGGGAUAACUGAGGGAAACUUCAGCUAAUACCGUAUGUGCCCUACGGGGAAAAGAUUUAUCGCCAUUGGAGCGGCCCGCGUUGGAUUAGCUAGUUGGUGAGGUAAAGGCUCACCAAGGCUACGAUCCAUAGCUGGUCUGAGAGGAUGAUCAGCCACACUGGGACUGAGACACGGCCCAGACUCCUACGGGAGGCAGCAGUAGGGAAUCUUGCGCAAUGGGCGAAAGCCUGACGCAGCCAUGCCGCGUGAAUGAUGAAGGUCUUAGGAUUGUAAAAUUCUCUCACCGGGGAAGAUAAUGACGGUACCCGGAGAAGAAGCCCCGGCUAACUUCGUGCCAGCAGCCGCCGUAAGAC